GAAAUGCGAUAAGUAAUGUGAAUUGCAGAAUUCAGUGAAUCAUCGAAUCUUUGAACGCACCUUGCGCUCCUUGGUAUUCCUUGGAGCAUGCCUGUUUGAGUAUCAUGAAAUCUUCAAAGUAAAUCUUUUGUUAACUCAAUUGGUUUCUACUUUGGUAUUGGAGGUCUUUGCAGCUUCACACCUGCUCCUCUUUGUUCAUUAGCUGGAUCUCAGUGUUAUGCUUGGUUCCACUCGGCGUGAUAAGUUAUCUAUCGCUGAGGACACUGUAAAAGGUGGCCAAGGUAAAUGCAGAUGAACCGCUUCUAAUAGUCCAUUGACUUGGACAAUACUUUUAUGAUCUGAUCUCAAAUCAGGUAGUACUACCCGCUGAACUUAAGC
rnacentral:misc_RNA from 1 species